CAGGCACACUGCAGUCUACAGUCAGGCCCAUAGUAACCAGGUAGGCACUCCUGGUCACAGUGCAUCCCUGUCCACCCCACACCACACUGGCACUCCCCCGUAGCUGUGGGAAAAAUAGGUUUGACCGAAUUAUAACGUUCGAGCUUAACAUGAAGAGUCUGAUUAACCUUUAAACGCUCAGAAGGUGUUUACAACGGUAAAGUGACCAAUGAAUGUGAUUCAACAGCCAAGGCCAUACCGCCCCUUGGGACAGGGCCUGAGACAGUGACGACCCCUUCGUCCAGCUGGGCAGUAGCAAGUGCCAUUGAUGGGGUCACAAAGGGCUACAUCUGGGCACUGG